GGUAGGGGUUAGACAGUACAGAGGCAGGUCAUUAAGGAGCAGGUAGGGGUUAGACAGUACAGAGGCAGGUCAUUAAGGAGCAGGUAGGGGUUAGACAGUACAGAGGCAGGUCAUUAAGGAGCAGGUAGGGGUUAGACAGUACAGAGACAGGUCAUUAAGGAGCAGGUAGGGGUUAGACAGUACAGAGACAGGUCAUUAAGGAGCAGGUAGGGGUUAGACAGUACAGAGACAGGUCAUUAAGGAGCAGGUAGGGGUUAGACAGUACAGAGAUAGGUCAUUAAGGAGCAGGUAGGGGUUAGACAGUACAGAGGCAGGUCAUUAAGGAGCAGGUAGGGGUUAGACAGUACAGAGGCAGGUCAUUAAGGAGCAGGUAGGGGUUAGACAGUACAGAGGCAGGUCAUUAAGGAGC
ensembl:lncRNA